ACUCACUCUGAGGGCUGUGACUCAAUUCUGAGCAGACUCUGAAUGAGGUGAUUUCUUACCAGGUGAUGUAGCAGGUGUUGACACAGACCCAGCACUAGGUGCAUUGGUGCUCAACAGAGGGCCUGAAAUUAAAUAAACGGCAUCAUGACUUAAUAUAAUCAUCAGAUGAACGGCACUAUGGAGCCCUAUGACAAAACGACUUUCUAAAAGAGUAGACUAUUCUUCCACACAAUUUAUUUCAAUUAGUUUCAAAAUGUAAGUUCAGAGAGUGAAGCUAACUCAGACAAAAACAGCACUGGGACCACAUCAGGGCAAGAGUCAAGUGAUGUCAGGAGCUGUGAUUCAAUAAUCUUUAGAGCUGUCACUCAGUAACUGUGAGAGGUUUACCUGUGUGAACUCUAACUCUGAGAGCUGUCACUCAGUAACUAUGAGAGUGACGACUCAAUUCUGAGCAGACUCUGAAUGUGGUGAUUUCAGAACAGAACCAGCACUGGGUCCAGUGGUGGUCAACAGAGGGUCUGAAAUUAGAUGGUUUCUUACCAGGUGAUGAAGCAGAUGUUGGCUUAUGCCCAACACUGGGUGCAGUUGUGAUCAACAGAGGGUCUGAAAUUAAAUAAACAUUAUAAUGACUAUAUUAUCAUCAGAUGAAGAGCAAUUUGGACCAUUAUAACUGAAUGACUAUCUAAGAGAGUAGAGUAUUCUUCCACACAAUUUAUUUCAAUUAGUUUCAAAAUCUAAGUUCAGAGAGUGAAGCUAACUCAGACAAAAACAGCACUGGGACCACAUCAGGGCAAGAGUCAAGUGAUCUCAGGAGUUGUGAUUCAAUAAUCUUUAGAGCUGUC
rnacentral:lncRNA from 1 species